rnacentral:misc_RNA from 1 species
CAACCCUCAAGCACUGCUUGGUGUUGGGGUCCUACAGCCUCUGUAGGCCCUGAAAACUAGUGGCGGGCUCGCUAUAACUCCGAGCGUAGUAGAAACACCUCGCUAAGGACGUGAUAGUGGGAUCCGGCCGUUAAACCCCCCAAUUUUCUGAA